rnacentral:lncRNA from 1 species
CAACUAUUCGAAUUCUUACUAUGUAUGUUGGCUUCAGUAGGUUCAGGUUCGCUAUUUGGAGUAGGAUGCACCUAGAUGAAAUCUAUUGAUCUUGGUAGAAAAGGAGAAAUCCUAUGCGAUUUGCGAGACUGAGUUCAGAAAAUCUUUGGUCAAAGCAAGUGUGAAUACUGAAAAAAAAAUUUUACGAGAUUCACAAAUGAACUCAAGUCGAGCAAAUCUAGCAUAUCACUGACGAUGGAGUCUGACGAGUUCUCCAUGAUCUCUGUCAAAUUGAGACUCACGAUAGAAGGACUGAAUCAUACAAUAAUUGUAUCUAGGAGUUCGUACUUUCAUUCUACUGAGUUGCCACUACAUAUUGCUAAGUAUCACUGGUAGAUUGUAAGAUUCAUCGGGCAUCAUCUUGAUGAUCGAUGGCCCUCGAAGGGUAGAAUUAAAAAUAUUUCAAUCCAUCGAAAAGAGUUACGAUGAUAUUGUGAUGGAAAUCACAAUAUAUCUCACUACCAGAUAGAAUGAAACCUAUGGGAUCACACAUUAAGAGAUUUAAUCUCGAAUUUUUCAAUUGGACUUAUGAAGUUUUAAUUGGGUUAGGAUUUAUUAAAAUUCUAUUAGAUUUAUGAGAACUGUACUAGCACAUAGUUAAACCUAAUUCUUCUCGAGACUUUGAUUUGAUCAAAUCCAUAGCCUUAAACCUAACCUAAAUCUAUUUGGAUUUAAUUAGACUCUUAAUUGUGAGCCCAAGAGGAUUUGAUUAAAUCAAUUAGUUGGUAUAAUUAUCCUAACAUUGUCUCUUUUUUAUCUCCUAAUUAUCUCUAAGUGUGUAUAUGGAAUAGAUGGAAAGAUGGGAGGCGCAAUCUUCUCUUUUUGGCAAGAUCAGGGGCCACCAACCCCCUGGAUUUGGCAAGUGGGGCUCAUCCCCUUUUUGAGGUUUGGCAUGAAGGAGAGAGAGUGGGGCCAUGCCUUCUCUCAUUUGGCAAGAAACCCCUUAAGGGACACUUGGCGCCCCAAACUACCAGCCC